GACGAACGCUGGCGGCGUGCUUAACACAUGCAAGUCGAACGGAAAGGCCCUGCUUGCAGGGUACUCGAGUGGCGAACGGGUGAGUAACACGUGGGUGAUCUGCCCUGCACUUCGGGAUAAGCCUGGGAAACUGGGUCUAAUACCGGAUAGGAGCCAUUUUUAGUGUGAUGGUUGGAAAGUUUUUUCGGUGUAGGAUGAGCUCGCGGCCUAUCAGCUUGUUGGUGGGGUAAUGGCCUACCAAGGCGGCGACGGGUAGCCGGCCUGAGAGGGUGGACGGCCACAUUGGGACUGAGAUACGGCCCAGACUCCUACGGGAGGCAGCAGUGGGGAAUAUUGCACAAUGGGCGCAAGCCUGAUGCAGCGACGCCGCGUGGGGGAUGACGGCCUUCGGGUUGUAAACUCCUUUCGCCAGGGACGAAGCUUUUUGUGACGGUACCUAGAUAAGAAGCACCGGCUAACUACGUG
rnacentral:rRNA from 1 species